CUCUGUUGUUCGGACAUGUCAGCGUUGUCAUAAUCUGCCAUCUCUCAAACUGCCAUUUCUUCUCCUGUUUAUUUAUUAUAUAUUUAUUUUUUUCUUCUCUCACCGACAGAGGAGCAUAGCCUACCUCUUCCCCUCCGGCCUGUUUGAGAAGCAAGCCCGGCCCGUCAUGAAGCAUCCAGACGACAUAUUUCCAAAGCAGAGCGCUGUCCAGUGGGGAGAGGACGGGCGGCCCUUCCACUUCCUGUUUUACACCGGCAAACCGUCCUACUACUCCAUGAUGCAUGUGAGUACUGCAGGCAGCUGUCAGGUUUUUAUGUGAGGUGGAGGUAAAUCUUCAUCCAGCUCAAAUCCCUAGUUCUUCC